AAAAUCAUCAGCUCACGCACUUAAUGUACGUGUAAAUCACUUAUUUUGUCCAACUCAGCCAUAUCAAUGCCACAUAAGCUCGGUCAACGAUCAGAAGGGUCCAAAAGUUCUGUUCUGAUUAAGUUGAAGUGUCCAGAUAAAACUUUAUAGAGUGUAGGGACCGGGAUGACAAACCAGAACAAGUACAAGUGCCUCUCAGGCUAUUCGCCUUGCUUAAAUUAGGGGAAUAGGUUCAAACAACAAACAAUUUAUUACUUCCAACUUACAGCUUCCAAAAGAACAAUCCGGUUGUAUGAGGUGCAUGAAGUAGUAAAGAACCCCCCCUCUCUCUAACGUUCACCUACUAACGAUCCCCCGUCGCUCAAUCGCCGGCGAUUCACAGGCAAGUGCCCCCCCCCUUCUCGGCCCUUCUCCAUUUCUUUUCUCUCUUGAUUUUCUUUCUCUUUCCUCCUUUUUCGUUGUCCUUUCUACUGGUGCGACCGGCACCGGUAGAUUUACGACGAACACCGGCGUCGACUAUUCCCCCUCCGAGUUCUUUCCCCUUUUCUAUCUUCCUCUCUUUCCCCUCUCAUCUCUCCUUUCUUUCCCCUAUCACUUUUCCCCCUCCUUCUUUAUCCUCUCUACACCCUCCCCCCUUCUUGUGCCUCCCGUUUAACAUUGUUGCCCACUGAACAGUAUAGUAGAGGUAGCGGGACCAUCUUUUUCUUUUUUCGUCUCUUUUUUCUUUGUUCAGGUGAAUCAGAAUAGUGCUUAGGGUUCACGGAGGCGGCGAUUUCAGCAGUUGCAUCUAGCGGCAAUGGUGGUGCGUGGCGAUAACUGACGUCAGGUCAUAUUUUCAGGUUCUUUCCAUCGGGAGUUGGUACCUCUCGCUUUCUUGUCUCUUUCUUUAUGCUAGUUAAAUUGUGACUAUUUGGUUAGCAUCACUUCAAGCAUAUUAUUAGAGCACUUGCAGUUGCUUCCUGUUAUUUCCUAGUUUGGGUCUGUAUUAGUGUUUUUCGAAGUUUGUCGUAGGUAUAGUAGCUGUGGUCUGGGAUGGUAGAGUAGGGUUAUGUCCUCGAGGGGUGCCGGGGUGAGAAGGAGGGUGGGGAGGGGAGGGGGUCAGUGGAUGGUACGAGAGGCAAUAAGGGCAAGGGGAAAGAGGGAGCUUGUAGAUUGAGGAUCGGGUCAUAGAACAUAGGCACGCUGAAGGUAAGUCUAUUGAGCUGGCAAAGAUUCUCCAGAAGAGGAAUGUUAAUAUAGCUUGUGUCCAGGAGGCUAGGUGGGCAGAGUCGAAGGCGAGGAAUGCGGACGGGUAUAAGUUGUGGUACUCUAGAGUCGUGAGGGGUAAGAAUGGAGUGGGUAUCUUGGUGGAUUGAGAUCUUAGAGAGUCUAUGGUGGAGGUUAGGUGAGUGAAUGAUAGGCUAAUGUUUAUUAGGUUGGUGAUUGGUGAGUGCACCCUCAAUGUAUGUAGCGCUUACGCGCCGCAAGCGGACUUGAACGAGAAGGUUAAGAGGCAUUUUUGGGAAGGUUUGGACGAGAUUGUGGUAUUCCACCUACUAAAAGAUUAUUUAUUGGAGGGAAUUUUAAUGGCCAUAUUGGGUCAGUUGCUGGUGGUUAUGGCGAGUUGCAUGGCGGCUCUGGCCUUGGGGUUAGGAACGGAGGAGGUACUUCGCCAAGGCUUUCGAGCUGGUGAUUGCGAACUUGUCUUUUCCAAAGAGGGAGGAGCAUCUGAUUACUUUCCAAAGUUCGGCGGUGAAGACUCAGAUUGAUUACCUUCUACUCAGAUGGUGUAAUAGUGGUUUGUGUAAGGAUUGCAAGGUUAUCCCGGGAGAGAACCCUCGCGACUAAGCAUAGGCUCUUAGUGAUGGACGUCGGCAUUAUGAUGAAGAGGAAGAAGAGGUAUGCUCGUGGCUGACCGAGGAUUAGAUGGGGAGCUUUAACCAAGGAUAAAGCCCAGGAGUUGGAUGUAGUUAUAGUGUGUUGCACAUAGUGCGUUGCACAUAUAUCUAACAGAAAGAAUUUAACCGCAUGCACAUUGCACACACACAAACACUUCUAUAAUUUCAGUCAUUAAAUAAAACUUAUAGAAUUUAAAUGUUAGAUCUAAUGAUUAUAACGAAAGCUUAGAUUCUAUUUAUUGAUUGGGUAAUUAAAAAGAUAGGUGACAUUAAAAAACGUAAUCGUAGUUAUAGUGCGUCCACAUAUAGUGAGUGGAUUAAAAAUAAUGCUUUAAUUGCAAUUUCCCCUACUGAUAAAAUGUGGAACAGGCUUGGAAAUGCUAAUUGGGGAGAUACUGGUGCUUUACAGGUACUUUUUGCUACUUUCAGCUCAAUCACUCUCAGUUGAAGAGUUGGCUGGUGAACACAGGUCUCGUCUUCAAGCAGAUGGAAUGGAAAUGGUUUACAUAGUGAGAUUGCACUCAACUUGUUGACGGAAGAUUCAUACCACUUCACUUGUUGAUAGGAUCGGAAUUAGUGAGAUUGCACUCAACUGUGUGAUUGUUUUGCUUACGGAUAUGGACUUGUAGGACACUGCUCAACAAAUCAUUCUAUAUCUCUAAAUGGAAUGUAUACUUCAUCACUUUAUGAAACUCCACGGUUUAGUUGAAAUAGUCAAUGAAUCAUUAUUCUUUUCUUCACUAGCAUUGCUAUUUCUUGCUUAUAAUAAAACUCUUCCUGUUUGCUUUCUGCUAAGUAAAAUAUUUGAGCUGAAAAGCAAUGGAUGCAUUGUUGCCCAGGUGGCCAGGUUGUCAAAAUUUUAUGCUGGCAAAUCUAGAUUUGCUCCUCUUUUUUUUUGUUUUGUAGAAUUUAGAUUAGGAUACAAGUAAAAUCUCUUCAUUCCGUGAUUUCAAAAUUUUAUGUUGAAUUUGUAGGUGUAUUUACAUGUAUCUGAGGAAAAUGAUUGAGUCCCCAUAAACGGCCUAAUGUCCGCUUCGCGUACUAUAAACAUUUCCUUUCUUCAUAUGUUUAUUCAACUUAUUAUGUAUAGUUCUCAUUGUUUAUACUUUUCAGUGAUCAAUGUAGCUAGAAGCUUAGUAUACAGUCAACUUAGCUUUAAAUUAUAAUGCACUACUUUGAUGUAGUGUUACUGUUUGGUUUUUAAACAAUUGGAAUGUCCAUGUGGUGCAGGGCUGAUCAAGGUGAUAUAUAUGAUUUCAUCUUUAUUAAAUAGAACCAAUUUAAUUUUAGUUCUAAAUGACACGUUCUCUCUUCUAUCAAUGGUUAACUCCAUGUUAUAUCAUAAUGUCCAGCGACGACAAAACAACUCCCAUGUUGCCUCCAUUGGUUAUUUUCUUCUGACCUCUCAAACUCGAAAGACCAAUAUCGAUAAUAGUGGCAAUACGCAACGACAACACUCACCAGGUUGGUGAUCAAGA
rnacentral:lncRNA from 1 species